ACAGUGAUUCCGUACGAUCACUGAAGUUAAGCAACGUCGAGUCUGGUUAAUACUUUGAUGGGCAACCGCUUGGGAAUACCAGGCGCUGUAAG